rnacentral:rRNA from 1 species
AACGAACGCUGGCGGCGUGCCUAAUACAUGCAAGUUGAGCGCUGAAGGUUGGUACUUGUACCCACUGGAUGAGCAGCGAACGGGUGAGUAACGCGUGGGGAAUCUGCCUUUGAGCGGGGGACAACAUUUGGAAACGAAUGCUAAUACCGCAUAAAAACUUUAAACACAAGUUUUAAGUUUGAAAGAUGCAAUUGCAUCACUCAAAGAUGAUCCCGCGUUGUAUUAGCUAGUUGGUGAGGUAAAGGCUCACCAAGGCGAUGAUACAUAGCCGACCUGAGAGGGUGAUCGGCCACAUUGGGACGGAGACACGGCCCAAACUCCUACGGGAGGCAGCAGUAGGGAAUCUUCGGCAAUGGACGAAAGUCUGACCGAGCAACGCCGCGUGAGUGAAGAAGGUUUUCGGAUCGUAAAACUCUGUUGGUAGAGAAGAACGUUGGUGAGAGUGGAAAGCUCAUCAAGUGACGGUAACUACCCAGAAAGGGACGGCUAACUACGUG